rnacentral:rRNA from 1 species
CCUACGGGGGGCAGCAGUGGGGAAUAUUGGACAAUGGGCGAAAGCCUGAUCCAGCCAUGCCGCGUGUGUGAAGAAGGCCUUCGGGUUGUAAAGCACUUUCAGUGGGGAAGAAAGCCUUGGGGCUAAUACCCUCGAGGAAGGACAUCACCCACAGAAGAAGCACCGGCUAACUCCGUGCCAGCAGCCGCGGUAAUACGGAGGGUGCGAGCGUUAAUCGGAAUUACUGGGCGUAAAGCGCGCGUAGGCGGUCUGAUAAGCCGGUUGUUGAAAGCCCCGGGCUCAACCUGGGAACGGCAUCCGGAACUGUCAGGCGAGAGUGCAGGAGAGGAAGGUAGAAUUCCCGGUGUAGCGGUGAAAUGCGUAGAGAUCGGGAGGAAUACCAGUGGCGAAGGCGGCCUUCUGGACUGACACUGACGCUGAGGUGCGAAAGCGUGGGUAGCAAACAGGAUUAGAUACCCGAGUAGUC